AACGAACGCUGGCGGCAGGCCUAACACAUGCAAGUCAAACGGGGUAGCAAUACCUAGUGGCGCACGGGUGAGUAACACGUGGGAAUCUCCCUUUCAGUACGGAAUAACAGCGGGAAACUGCUGCUAAUACCGUAUGGUCCCUUCGGGGUAAAGAUUUAUCGCUGAAAGAUGAGCCCGCGUCAGAUUAGCUAGUUGGUGGGGUAACGGCCUACCAAGGCUACGAUCUGUAGCUGGCCUUAGAGGACGAUCAGCCACACUGGAACUGAGACACGGUCCAGACUCCUACGGGAGGCAGCAGUGGGGAAUAUUGGACAAUGGGGGAAACCCUGAUCCAGCCAUGCCGCGUGAGUGAUGAAGGCCUUCGGGUUGUAAAGCUCUUUAGGGUGGGACGAUAAUGACGGUACCACCAGAAUAAGCCCCGGCUAACCUCAUGCCAGCCGCCGCCGUAA
rnacentral:rRNA from 1 species